UACGUAGGGGGCUAGCGUUGUCCGGAAUCAUUGGGCGUAAAGCGCGCGUAGGCGGCCCGGUAAGUCCGUUGUGAAAGUCAAAGGCUCAACCUUUGAAAGCCGAUGGAUACUGUCGAGCUCGAGUCCGGAAGAGGCGAGUGGAAUUCCUGGUGUAGCGGUGAAAUGCGCAGAUAUCGGAAGGAACAUCAGUGGCGAAAGCGGCUUCCUGGACCAGUACCGACGUUCAGGCACGAAAGCGUGGGGAGCAAACAGG
rnacentral:rRNA from 1 species